UGGAGAGUCUGAUUCUGGCUCAGAUUGAACGCUGGCGGGAUGCUUUACACAUGCAAGUCGAACGGCAGCACGGACUUCGGUCUGGUGGCGAGUGGCGAACGGGUGAGUAAUGUAUCGGAACGCAGCUCAUGGGGAUAACUACGCGAAAGCGUAGCUAAUACCGCAUACGGCUGCCCUCGGGGGAAAGCGGUGACCUUCUGCCUUCGCACUAUUAGAGCGGCUGAUAUCGGAUUAGCUAGUUGGUGGGGUAACGGCUCACCACAGACGAUCCGUAGCUGGUUUGAGAGGACGACCAGCCACACUGGGACUGAGACACGGCCCGACUCCUACGGGAGGCAGCAGGGUAAAUUUUGGACAAUGGGAAACUCCUGAUCCAGCCAUCCCGCGUGUGCGAUGGAAGGCCUUCGGGUUGUAAAGCACUUUUGGCAGGGAAAGAAACGGCACGGAUAAUACCCGUGCAACGACGGUACCUGCAGAAUACACUGAAGACCAUGCAAAGAAACAAGUAAUACGCAGGGUGCAAGCGUUAAUCGGAAUUGCUUACUGGGCGGGAAGUGUGCAGGCGGUUCGAAAGAAAGAUGUAACCAGAGCUUAACUUUGGAACUGCAUUUUUAACGGUCAGAGCUUGUAGAGGUGUCAGAGGGGAGGUGGGAAUUCCGCGUGUAGCAGAAUGCGUAGAUAUGCGGAGGAACACCGAUGGCGAAGGCAGCCUCUGGGAUAACAUCGAUGCACGAAAGCGGGGAGCAAACAGGACACAGACAAUUCGGUAAACCACGCCCCAAACGAUGUCAACUAGCUGUUGGGGCCUUCGGGCCUUGGUAGCGCAGCUAAUCGCGUGAAGUUGACCGCCUGGGAGCAUGGUCGCAAGAUUAAAACCUCAAAGGAAUUGACGGGGACCUGCACAAGCGUGGAUGAUGUGGAUUAAUUCGAUGCAUCGCGAAAAACCUUACCUACCUUAUAUGUCUGAAUCCUGAAGAGAUUUGGGAGGUCAGAGAGAACCGAACACAGGUGCUGGCAUGGCUGUCGUCAGCUCGUGUCGUGAGAUGUUGCUGAAACCAACGAGCGUAACCCUUGUCAUUAGUUAGCAUGACAGGGCACUAUCAGACUGCCGGUGACAAACCGGAGGAAGGUGGGAUGACGUCAAGUCCUCAUGGCCCUUAUGGGCUUCACACGUCAUACAAUGGUCGGGACAGAGGCCGCCAAUCCCAGGGGGAGGCCAAUCCCAGAAAACCCGAUCGUAGUCCGGAUCGCAGUCUGCAGGGAACGACUGGUGUGAAGUCGGAAUCGCUGCAAUCGCAGAUCAGUAUGUCGCGGUGAAUACGUUCCCCGGUCUUGCCACACCGCCCGUCACACCAUGGAGUGGGUUUACCAGAAGUAGUUAGCCUAACCGUAUGAGGGUGAUUACCACGGUAGAUUCAUGACUGGGGUGAAGUCGUAACAAGGUAG
rnacentral:rRNA from 1 species